rnacentral:rRNA from 1 species
UAGGGAAUCUUCGGCAAUGGGGGCAACCCCUGACCGAGCAACGCCGCGUGAGUGAAGAAGGUUUUCGGAUCGUAAAGCUCUGUUGUAAGAGAAGAACGUGUGUGAGAGUGGAAAGUUCACACAGUGACGGUAACUUACCAGAAAGGGACGGCUAACUACGUGCCGG